CCUGAACGCACACUGCUCAGGUCGGGAUGUGAUCCUCUCGAGGAUUGAACCAGGAA
rnacentral:ncRNA from 1 species